CCUGACUGCUAUCGGAUUGAUACUAAGCCAUGCGAGUCAUUGUAGCAAUACAAGGCAGACGGCUCAGUAACGCGUAGUCAACCUAACCUAUGGACGGGAAUAACCUCGGGAAACUGAGAAUAAUGCCCGAUAGAACACUAUGCCUGGAAUGGUUUGUGUUCCAAAUGAUUUAUCGCCGUAGGAUGGGACUGCGGCCUAUCAGUUUGUUGGUGAGGUAAUGGCCCACCAAGACUAUUACAGGUACGGGCUCUGAGAGGAGUAGCCCGGAGAUGGGUACUGAGACACGGACCCAGGCCCUAUGGGGCGCAGCAGGCGAGAAAACUUUGCAAUGUGCGAAAGCACGACAAGGUUAAUCCGAGUGGUUUGUGCUAAACAGACCUUUUGUUAGUCCUAGAAACACUAACGAAUAAGGGGUGGGCAAGUUCUGGUGUCAGCCGCCGCGGUAAAACCAGCACCUCAAGUGGUCAGGAUGAUUAUUGGGCCUAAAGCAUCCGUAGCCGGCUCUGUAAGUUUUCGGUUAAAUCUGUAUGCUCAACAUACAGGCUGCCGGGAAUACUGCAGAGCUAGGGAGUGGGAGAGGUAGACGGUACUCGGUAGGAAGGGGUAAAAUCCUUUGAUCUAUUGAUGACCACCUGUGGCGAAGGCGGUCUACCAGAACACGUCCGACGGUGAGGGAUGAAAGCUGGGGGAGCAAACCGGAUUAGAUACCCGGGUAGUCCCAGCUGUAAACUAUGCAAACUCAGUGAUGCAUUGGCUUGUGGCCAAUGCAGUGCUGCAGGGAAGCCGUUAAGUUUGCCGCCUGGGAAGUACGUACGCAAGUAUGAAACUUAAAGGAAUUGGCGGGGGAGCACCACAAGGGGUGAAGCCUGCGGUUC
rnacentral:rRNA from 1 species